UAACAUUGGUCAACAAAGUAUACCCGACCCGACCCAAAACAUGUAACUCUGUUCCCUCCGUAUCUUCUUCGCUUCUUCUGAGACUGACUAAACCAAAAACCCUUAUUUUUUAUAUUCUAUUUCUUCUUCUUUCUGCUUUCUCUCCACGCUUUUGCUUUUCUAAACACAACAACAAUGGCAUUAUUAAAGUCUCCAAAGAAACAUGUUAAUCUUUUCUACUCAA
rnacentral:lncRNA from 1 species